GAUGAACGCUGGCGGCGUGCCUAAUACAUGCAAGUCGAGCGAACAGACGAGGAGCUUGCUCCUCUGACGUUAUCGGCGGACGGGUCAGUCCCACGUGGAUAACCUACCUAUAAGACUGGGAUAAUUUUGGGAAACCGGAUCUAAUACCGGAUAAUAUAUUGACCCUCAUGAUUCAAUCGUUAAAGACGGUUUUUCUUUCACUAAUAGAUGGAUCCGCGCCGCAUUAACUAGUUGGUAAGGUAACGGCUUACCAAGGCAACGAUGCGUAGCCGACCUGAGAGCGUGGUCGGCCACACUGGAACUGAGACACGGCCCAGACUCCUACGGGAGGCAGCAGUAGGGAAUCUUCCGCAAUGGGCGAAAGCCUGACGGAGCAACGCCGCGUGAGUGAUGAAGGUCUUCGGAUCGUAAAACUCUGUUAUUAGGGAAGAACAAAUGUGUAAGUAACUAUGCACGUCUUGACGGUACCGAAUCAAAAAGCCACGGCUAACUACGUG
rnacentral:rRNA from 1 species